CGUCAGAUUGAACGCUGGCGGCAUGCUUUACACAUGCAAGUCGAACGGCAGCACGACGUGUAGCAAUACACGUUGGUGGCGAGUGGCGAACGGGUGAGUAAUACAUCGGAACGUGUCCUGUAGUGGGGGAUAACCAAUCGAAAGAUUGGCUAAUACCGCAUACGAUCUACGGAUGAAAGCGGGGGACCGCAAGGCCUCGCGCUAUAGGAGCGGCCGAUGUCCGAUUAGCUUGUUGGCGGGGUAACGGCCCACCAAGGCGACGAUCGGUAGCUGGUCUGAGAGGAUGAUCAGCCACACUGGAACUGAGACACGGUCCAGACUCCUACGGGAGGCAGCAGUGGGGAAUUUUGGACAAUGGGCGCAAGCCUGAUCCAGCCAUGCCGCGUGAGUGAAGAAGGCCUUCGGGUUGUAAAGCUCUUUCGGCGGGGACGAAACGGUCCGUGACAACACCACGGACUAAUGACGGUACUCGCAGAAGAAGCACCGGCUAACUACGUGCCAGCAGCCGCGGUAAUACGUAGGGUGCAGGCGUUGUUCGGAUUCAUUGGGCGUAAAGGGUGCGUAGGCGGCGCGGUAAGUCGGGUGUGAAAUCUUGGAGCUUAACUCCGAAACUGCAUUCGAUACUGCCGUGCUUGAGGACUGGAGAGGAGACUGGAAUUUACGGUGUAGCGGUGAAAUGCGUAGAUAUCGUAAGGAAGACCAGUGGCGAAGGCGGGUCUCUGGACAGUUCCUGACGCUGAGGCACGAAGGUCAGGGGAGCAAACGGGAUUAGAUACCCCGGUAGUCCUGACAGUAAACGGUGCACGUUUGGUGUGGGAGGAUUCGACCCCUUCUGCGCCGGAGCUAACGCGUUAAACGUGCCGCCUGGGGAGUACGGUCGCAAGAUUAAAACUCAAAGAAAUUGACGGGGGCCCGCACAAGCGGUGGAGUAUGUGGCUCAAUUCGAUGCAACGCGAAGAACCUUACCUGGCCUUGACAUGCAUCUCUAAGUUGGUGAAAGCCAGCGAGUCCCGAAAGGGACAAUUUGCACAGGUGCUGCAUGGCUGUCGUCAGCUCGUGUCGUGAGAUGUUGGGUUAAGUCCCGCAACGAGCGCAACCCCUGUGAACUGUUGCCACCGAGCCGUGAGGCUCGAGCACUCUGUUCAGACUGCCCCGCUCUAACGGGGAGGAAGGUGGGGACGACGUCAAGUCAGUAUGGCCCUUACGGCCAGGGCUGCACACGUACUACAAUGCCCAGUACAGAACGAUCCUAGACCGCGAGGUGGAGGAAAUCACUAAAACUGGGCCCAGUUCAGAUUGAAGUCUGCAACUCGACUUCAUGAAGCCGGAAUCGCUAGUAAUGGCGUAUCAGCUACGACGCCGUGAAUACGUUCCCGGGCCUGCA
rnacentral:rRNA from 1 species